UGUUUAUUUUGCUGUGAAGCUCGGAGACCAAGAUACGUUUUCGACUACCCAUAAAGUUUUCAAACCCUGGGUAGAGUGGCAAAGACUGUAAAAACAUGGACAAAUGAAAAGUUUAAACUUCGUCAUGCUUAUGCUGUGGAUAGAGCUACUAAACCAUCACAUUGUUUUUGUGUUGUGAGUGUGAAAGGCUGCAAUGAUUUGGAAUCCCCCAAGGCGACCUGUUCUACACUGUGAAGACCUUCC